UACGGAGGGGACUAGCGUUGUUCGGAAUUACUGGGCGUAAAGAGCUCGUAGGCGGUUUGUCGCGUCGAAUGUGAAAACCCGGGGCUCAACCCCGGGCCUGCAUUCGAUACGGGCAGACUAGAGUUCGGUAGGGGAGUCUGGAAUUCCUGGUGUAGCGGUGAAAUGCGCAGAUAUCAGGAGGAACACCGGUGGCGAAGGCGGGACUCUGGGCCGAUACUGACGCUGAGGAGCGAAAGCGUGGGGAGCAAACAGG
rnacentral:rRNA from 1 species